UGAUUACUGUUGGACAUGCCCAUGAAGCU
rnacentral:piRNA from 1 species